rnacentral:rRNA from 1 species
AGGACGAACGCUGGCGGCGUGCUUAACACAUGCAAGUCGAGCGCCCCGCAAGGGGAGCGGCAGACGGGUGAGUAACGCGUGGGAACAUACCCUCCGGUUCGGAAUAGCUCAGGGAAACUUGGAUUAAUACCGGAUACGGCCUAGCGGCGAAAGAUUGAUCGCCGGAGGAUUGGCCCGCGUCUGAUUAGCUAGUUGGUGGGGUAAUGGCCCACCAAGGCGACGAUCAGUAGCUGGUCUGAGAGGAUGAUCAGCCACAUUGGGACUGAGACACGGCCCAAACUCCUACGGGAGGCAGCAGUGGGGAAUAUUGGACAAUGGGCGCAAGCCUGAUCCAGCCAUGCCGCGUGAGUGAUGACGGCCUUAGGGUUGUAAAGCUCUUUCGCUAGGGACGAUAAUGACGGUACCUAGACAAGAACGCCCCGGCUAACUUCGUGCCAGCAGCCGC